rnacentral:lncRNA from 1 species
GUGGGAUGCCUUAUCAAUCUACUUUGUAUCCCACGACCCUGUAACUCUGGCCACAAGUGCCUGAACCAGAGAUCUUUGCCCAGGUCUCUCUGCCAGCUCUCAGUACGGGUCCAGGUAUGGCCUCCUUGAAAGACACACACACACACACACAAGUACAAGGUAGUAGGUCAACAGAGAAUCCAACACGGGGAGAGAAGUCAGUAACAGAAGUGUGAUUGGGAGGAAACCGUGGUGGAGAAAAGCAGCCAGAAAGCGGGCAGCUUGAGGAAGUCUAAGGAAAAGGGGGGCGAGGCUGGCUCAGCCACAGAAGGGGCGGAGAGUGCCGUGAGCCCUGGGCAAGCCUCCCAUUCCUGAAAGCCCAUCUGUUUACAGCCCAAAGGGCUCAUCCGUUACCGGUAAUACUCGCCUUCCCACAGGUGACCCUGAACCUGCCAAGUCAGAGACGCAGUGCCAUCGCCUGGGCACAGUGUCUGAGUCACGCUUGCUCCUUGUUACAUCCUUUUCCAUUUCCCCCAACGUUUGACACGAAAGACUUUUCUGAUAGGCUGCCUCCGCAGUGGCCUCAGUACAGCUGAUUCUCUGGGGGUCAGGAUCAUAUAAAUAGUUGCUGCAGGGGGCACCUGGUCUCAGACCGGAGGAGCGACAUCUCUGCCACCGCUGCCGCCCGGUCCCGAGGCGGGGUCCCGGUCGCCCGCGCGCCGCCCCAUGCACCUCUGCCUCGGCCGGCGCGCACCCCCGCGGAUCGGCCACGGGGAUCCGCGGCCCCGGCCGGCCUUCCGCUCCUGUCCGGCACCAUCUACCGAAGCCCGGAGGCCCAGGAAGCGGGUGGUGUUCGCAGACACCAAGGGGCUCUCGCUGACGUCCGUGCACAGCUUUGGAGAUGCUGUGGGCGCAGACUCAGAGAAGACCUUCUGCGGUGGGUCCAGGGGAGCGCGCCCCGCACCGCCCAGCUCGCCAAAGCCAAGACCCUCGGUUCCGGGCCUCCCGGCCCCAGGCAGGACUCCGGGGUCCCCCGAGGCGUCUGCAGACCCCCCGUGGCCGGGGGGCUUCCAGCGAGGCGCCGUGCGGGCUCGAGGGCUAGGUUUUCAGAAGGUGCCGCCUGUGCGCGUCGCUCUGGGUGCCUGGGGCUCAGUCCUUGAAGCGCCGCCACUCACGCGCUCGGUCCUGAAAGAACCGGCGGCAGCUUCGCCCUCGGCGCGGGGUUGCCGCGAGGUCCCCCGAGCUGGGGGAACCAUCCAGUUGUGCUUCUCUUAUAGUGUGCUCAGCCGCUUUCAGCGGAUGGUGAUCAAGGUCAGAGUUAGUGCCUGACUCCCAGUUCACCGCCCUGCCCAUCAGAAUGAAACUGAACCCUUCGAGGGCGCACAUAUAGGAGCCCUCGCGGUU